GAGACGUGCUCUGCACACUAAUGGUGGUCCGGACGAAUGCAUAGAUUAAGCUUCCAGCAUGUUGUCUCUUAAUAUUUCUUUCUCCAGCUAGGAUCCAAAUUGGCAUUCUCAUUAGAGUGAGUCUGAAGUUGGAACGCGGCGGGCGGGGAUGCAUCGCCGACCUGGUGUGUCAGGAGCAAUGUCCCGCUGUUCCUCUCUGAACUCCCACUGUCUGGGGGGACAAUUAGAACCUAAUUUACACAAGUCAAACAAAAUAAGUCCAAACCGUUGGACCCGGCCUCACCGAGCGUGGUGGAUUAGAACUGUAGGAAAAAGGCCUGCUCUCCAAUACCAAGAAGAGGGUGCGAGCCGCAUGUGUGCGCAGCAGGGGGACGAGGACUCUGCUGGAAAGCGGAGCGCCGGAAGGAACAGCACGUUGUUACUAUGGAGGGGGGGGACCUCCUGGACAGCACACACAAAGAUGAGUUCACAGGAAAAAAAUGAUACACGUCCGAUCAAAUCUUUAUUGUGCACGUUUUCAAGGACGGGUGGUAGGACUGAAUCCAGCCUGCCGCGGUCGGUACCUGGAGGCAGGGCGGUUGAAAGAGAUGAUUCUGACUUCCUGAAGUAAUUGGAGUCAACCCCGCUGUCCAACAUAGAAAAAGAGAGCGUGCGGUCAUUUUCUCGAAGCGGCAUCUAUUGCGAGCCAGACCGAAUGCGCCUGCUUCAAGGUCACCCCCACACCUCGCUCUCCACUUUCAGCACCUACGGUGCUCAAGCCGGAAUGAUCUGUCCAAGAUUACAGAUCUGUCAUUAGUGGCAUUAGUCAAAUCCCAUUUGUGAUGGAUGCUCUCCAGAGCUGGAAGUGCGGCUGCCUUUUUUCAAGGUGAGAAACAUAUUUAGCAGUCAUUUGGAAAAUAGAUAGACAUUUUGUGGACAUUUUAUAGUGCACUGCAGAUUAUUGGAUUGAAAAUGAAUCAUUUUAACCGCGUCUUUAACAAUGCACCUGUGCCAGGUAUUACUGCUUUGGCGGAGCGCUCUAGCUGGCCCGCCGCUCCUCUAUCCCUCUUGGACGUGUGCCAGGCUCCUUGGCACAGUAGAUUGGUUGAAUUAUAG
ensembl:lncRNA